ACAAAGGCUCUUUUCAGAGCCACUUUCACUGUUUUAGGAAGGAGCU
rfam:Fukomys damarensis contig89871, whole genome shotgun sequence.